rnacentral:lncRNA from 1 species
AUGGUCUUGGCUCUUCAGGAUUUAUAUUCCUAUUCGUUAUCUGGAAAAAAAAGAGCUGCUUUGCUGGGACCGCAUUUCCUAAAGGACGUACAGUUCCACACCCCUCUGACCCAAAGCAUUGUAAUCUGUAAAAAUUGAUGAUCAAGACAGCCCCCGGAUAAUCAUGGAUCAAGGGCUGCUCUACACAAUUGUUGCUGUGGCUGUCUAUGAAGAUGUCAUUAUAGGACACAAAGUCCAUGCAGCUGGCUUCACAAUAAAGUGGAAUUCUUUGCAGAAAACUGAUGAGCUGCCAGCUUCUAGAUCCAAGAUUCUAAAAACUGCCCACAUUCCUUGGCUCAUGGCCCCCUUAACUCUUCAAGGCCAGCGAUGGCCACUAGAGUCCCACAUCACAUGUUUUCACAUAAAAGCAGACAUUUUAAAAGAAACAAAGUUGAGAAAUGGAGUGAGAAAGAAGAGAAGGUAA